AGUCGCUUUGGCCGAGUGGGUAAGGCGUGUGCCUGCUAAUUACAUGGGGUUUCCCCGCAAGAUUUCGAAUCUCUCAGGUGACGG
rnacentral:tRNA from 1 species